rnacentral:rRNA from 1 species
AGGACGAACGCUGGCGGCGUGCUUAACACAUGCAAGUCGAGCGGAAAGGCCCUUCGGGGUACUCGAGCGGCGAACGGGUGAGUAACACGUGAGCAACCUGCCCCUGGCUCUGGGAUAGCCUCCGGAAACGGGGAUUAAUACCGGACAUGACCCUUGACCGCAUGGUUGGGGGUGGAAAGUUUUUCGGCCAGGGUGGGGCUCGCGGCCUAUCAGCUUGUUGGGGGGUGACGGCUCACCAAGGCGACGACGGGUAG